rnacentral:rRNA from 1 species
UACAGAGGGGGCAAGCGUUGUUCGGAAUUACUGGGCGUAAAGGGCGCGUAGGUGGCCCUCUAAGUCAUGCGUGAAAUCCCCGGGCUCAACCCGGGAACUGCGUCUGAUACUGGAGGGCUUGAAUCCGGGAGAGGGAUGUGGAAUUCCAGGUGUAGCGGUGAAAUGCGUAGAUAUCUGGAGGAACACCGGUGGCGAAGGCGGCAUCCUGGACCGGUAUUGACGCUGAGGCGCGAAAGCCAGGGGAGCAAACGGG